GAAACACAGGGUAAUACCGGAUACGACCUUUAGAUUGCGGUCUAGAGGGGAAAGUCGCUUAGGCGACGCCCUAAGCUGAGCCUGCGGCUGAUUAGCUAGUUGGUAGGGUAAUGGCCUACCAAGGCGACGAUGAGUAGCCGGCCUGAGAGGGUGAUCGGCCACACUGGGACUGAGACACGGCCCAGACUCCUACGGGAGGCAGCAGCUAAGAAUCUUCCGCAAUGGGGGGAACCCUGACGGAGCGACGCCGCGUGGACGAAGAAUGCCGGAAGGUUGUAAAGUCCUUUUCCUGGGGGAGAAUAAUGAGUGGAGGGAAUGCCAUUCAGAUGACGUGAACCAGGGAAUAAGCCCCGGCUAAUUACGUGCCAGCAGCCGCGGUAACACGUAAGGGGCGAGCGUUGUUCGGAUUUAUUGGGCGUAAAGGGCNUGUAGGCGGUAAUGUAANUCUGGUGUNAAAUACCUCGGCUCAACCGAGGAGGUGCGCUGGAAACUGUGUUACUUGAGUGAUGGAGGGGGAGCUGGAAUUCCUGGUGUAGGGGUGAAAUCUGUAGAGAUCAGGAAGAGCACCGGAGGCGAAGGCGAGCU
rnacentral:rRNA from 1 species